AUGUGCACCGUGCCUGUGGCGCCGUCCGAGGAGACCGAGAGCCUGUGCGGGCGGCCCCUGGGGCUCGCGUUCCACCGCAAGUCCGGCGACCUCUACAUCGCCGACGCGUACAAGGGGCUCAUGAGGGUUGGCCCCGACGGCGGCGAGGCCGAGGUGCUUGCCACGACGGCCAAUGGAGUCCGGUUCAACUUCGUCAACGGCAUCGACAUCGAUCAGGUCACCGGUGAUGUCUACUUCACCGACAGCAGCGUGACAUAUCCACGAAGAUUUAAUACGGAGAUCAUGAUGAACGCGGAUGCGACGGGGAGGCUGCUCAAGUACGACGCGCAGACGAAGCAGGUCACCGUGCUCAAGGACGGCUUGCCGUACCCCAACGGCGUCGCAGUGAGCUACGACAGGACGUUCAUCGUCGUCGCGCACACGGUGCCGUGCCAGGCACAGAGGUACUAUCUCCAGGGACCAAAGGCUGGCCACUACGAGCUGCUCGCCGACCUGCCGGGCUACCCGGACAACGUGCGGAGGGACGGGAAGGGCGGCUACUGGGUGGCGCUGAACCAGGAGAAGGGCGCCCGGGCGCGACCACAGCCCCCGUGA
rnacentral:rRNA from 1 species